GCCGCGUGAGUGAUGAAGGUUUUCGGAUCGUAAAACUCUGUUGUUAGGGAAGAACAAGUACCGUUCGAAUAGGGCGGUACCUUGACGGUACCUAACCAGAAAGCCACGGCUAACUACGUGCCAGCAGCCGCGGUAAUACGUAGGUGGCAAGCGUUGUCCGGAAUUAUUGGGCGUAAAGCGCGCGCAGGUGGUUUCUUAAGUCUGAUGUGAAAGCCCCCGGCUCAACCGGGGAGGGUCAUUGGAAACUGGGAGACUUGAGUGCAGAAGAGGAAAGUGGAAUUCCAAGUGUAGCGGUGAAAUGCGUAGAGAUUUGGAGGAACACCAGUGGCGAAGGCGACUUUCUGGUCUGUAACUGACACUGAGGCGCGAAAGCGUGGGGAGCGAACAGGAUUAGAUACCCUGGUAGUCCACGCCGUAAACGAUGAGUGCUAAGUGUUAGAGGGUUUCCGCCCUUUAGUGCUGCAGCAAACGCAUUAAGCACUCCGCCUGGGGAGUACGGCCGCAAGGCUGAAACUCAAAGGAAUUGACGGGGGCCCGCACAAGCGGUGGAGCAUGUGGUUUAAUUCGAAGCAACGCGAAGAACCUUACCAGGUCUUGACAUCCUCUGACAAUCCUAGAGAUAGGACGUUCCCCUUCGGGGGACAGAGUGACAGGUGGUGCAUGGUUGUCGUCAGCUCGUGUCGUGAGAUGUUGGGUUAAGUCCCGCAACGAGCGCAACCCUUGAUCUUAGUUGCCAGCAUUCAGUUGGGCACUCUAAGGUGACUGCCGGUGACAAACCGGAGGAAGGUGGGGAUGACGUCAAAUCAUCAUGCCCCUUAUGACCUGGGCUACACACGUGCUACAAUGGAUGGUACAAAGGGCUGCAAGACCGCGAGGUUUAGCCAAUCCCAUAAAACCAUUCUCAGUUCGGAUUGCAGGCUGCAACUCGCCUGCAUGAAGCCGGAAUCGCUAGUAAUCGCGGAUCAGCAUGCCGCGGUGAAUACGUUCCCGGGCCUUGUACACACCGCCCGUCACACCACGAGAGUUUGUAACACCCGAAGUCGGUGGGGUAACCGCAAGGAGCCAGCCGCCUAAGGUGGGACAGAUGAUUGGGGUGAAGUCGUAACAAGGUAGCCGUAUCGGAAGGUGCGGCUGGAUCACCUCCUUU
rnacentral:ncRNA from 1 species